ACACACAGUAAGUCUCAGGUGCGAUAGUGGAGAAGAGGAUGGGCUCUAGAGCCAAGAAUGGGUUUGGAUCCUGGCCCUGCCACUUAAAAGUUGUAUAACCCUAGCGUCAGUUUUGCCUUUUGAUGUAAGUCAUCGUCUCUGGACAUGAGAACGGGAGGCCUCACUUCCACAUCCUCCUCCAAAUGAAUGCACUCUAAACAAACAUUGAUGCGCCUCUCAAGGUUGGCAUUGCAUCUGGACCAGUGCCAGGAAGCCACAAGGCCACCAGAGGCAGAGGGGAAGAGCAAGGGCGGAAGAAUAGAAGUCAAGCAGCAGCAGAUGGAAUGUGUGCACGGUCAGGUGGAGGCAAGCUGCUCCUGACAGGUGCAAGAACUGACUGUGUGUGUACUUUGCUUCUCAAUGCUGUGCACAGACACGUGCAGCAAGAACCAUCUCAGAGGGUCACAAGCCCCCUAGAUUUUACCCACAGAAGAUGGGAGAAAAAAGAACCUGUGAUGAAUGAAGAAAGCUGGGGAAAAUGAGGGAAGGCAGGAGGAACCUGCCAGAAACAAGCCAAGUCCCACCAACAUGGAAAUCAGAUCACAAAUGAUUUAGCUGUAAAACAGCAGAAUCCAGUGCAUUGGAGGGAACCCUGGACAUACGCUGAACAAUAAGGAGAGCCAGCUGCCCAAUAUCUGCAAGGAGAUUGUUCACAGCCAAUACCAAGGAGAGUACUAAACACUGAGAUAGAUUUUGCUGCUGCUAAGGCAAACUAUUAUAAUCUUGAACUACAAAAAGCGUGGGAGGAUGUGGUCAGACAAGUUCCAGCCCUUCCCCUUCCCCCACCAUGCCAGUUCACAAUUUUAAUUCCCAGGAGAAUCACAACUGAAGCAGACUACCCAGCUGAAAAGAGAGACGUGCACCCUCCAUUGUGUCCAAUAGCCGAGGACAUACAGGCAAGCUAACGAGAUGCAAAUCCCAUUCAAUAUGGCUAAUGCUUUUUUUAUCCCUAACCAAAGACCUAGAAAACUCAUUCAAUUUGGUGGUUUUCUAAUAUAGCUUC